rnacentral:misc_RNA from 1 species
GCUUAUGUGAAAAUAACUGUAGUUGUUGGGGUGCUGUUUACAAUAACGCAUCCGGGUUUUGUUACUUGGUGGAUUAUCCGAUCCGAACACUAUUGGCUGUGGGUGAUGAGACCAAGGCAGGGUAUUUUAAGCUGAGGAAAGCAACAGGGAGGAAAAUGGACGUGGGUGUGGGUGUUGGGAUCUUGAGUGGGGCCAUGGCGAUUCUGGUUGGAGCUAUUGGAUUUGGGAUUUACAGGAUUUGGAAGAGGAGGAGAGGGGUCAAACGGAUCUUAGUGGAGGAGGAUGGGAUAUCACCCGGGCCGUAUAAGGAUCUCGGGUCGGCUAGCUUCAGGUCCAUUGAAAUGGGUACUAUGUAGUGACGCAAGGAAUGACGUAAGAAAAGGUUGGUGGGGUAGGGUUUGACAGACACUUUGGAGGACACUUUUUGGAGUGAAAGUGAGGUGGGGCCA